rnacentral:rRNA from 1 species
AUUGAACGCUGGCGGCAGGCCUAACACAUGCAAGUCGAACGGUAACAGGAAGCAGCUUGCUGCUUCGCUGACGAGUGGCGGACGGGUGAGUAAUGUCUGGGAAGCUGCCUGAUGGAGGGGGAUAACUACUGGAAACGGUAGCUAAUACCGCAUAAUGUCGCAAGACCAAAGAGGGGGACCUUCGGGCCUCUUGCCAUCGGAUGUGCCCAGAUGGGAUUAGCUUGUUGGUGGGGUAACGGCUCACCAAGGCGACGAUCCCUAGCUGGUCUGAGAGGAUGACCAGCCACACUGGAACUGAGACACGGUCCAGACUCCUACGGGAGGCAGCAGUGGGGAAUAUUGCACAAUGGGCGCAAGCCUGAUGCAGCCAUGCCGCGUGUAUGAAGAAGGCCUUCGGGUUGUAAAGUACUUUCAGCGGGGGGGAAGGGAGUAAAGUUAAUACCUUUGCUCAUUGACGUUACCCGCAGAAGAAGCACCGGCUAACUCCGUG